AACAUCUGUUGCCAAUCUUUCCCUUUUUUUGCUUGAGGAGGAUUUUCCCUGAGCUAACUUCUGUCCCAGUCUUCUUCUGUUUUGUAUGUGGGUCACCACCACAGCAUAGCCAUUGACAAGUGGUGUAGGUCCGUGCCAAGGAACUGAAGCUGGGCCACCGAAGCAGAGCACACCAAACUUACCCCCUUAUGGUCUUGGGGCUGGCCCCCUGUUCAUUCCUUUUAAUGUCACUGGACAAAGUGGUGAACGAAAAUGAUGAACUUAGAGAUCUGAAUUCUCACCUCAAACAUUGCAACAAUGACCUAAGAAUUACAAAGUGUGAUCUGAGGAAUAGUCUUACCUCCUGUAAGGACUGAAACUGCUACAAAUAAAACUUUGAUUGGAUAAAUUUCAAAAAGUUGAAUUCCAAAAUCCUAGGGUGUCUACUGUUAAAUCCAGGGCACUGAUUGUGAAAGAGUAGUAUCCUGUAUGUUGGGAUUUCAUGUGGGAAAAUGCUGAUGAAGCUGAGGAUAUCAACUCACUAGAUUGUGACAUCUUAUUUGUGAAUGGAAGUACUCUCCCCUUCCCUAGUACCAGCAACAUCCCCACUCCAAGUGAUGGCAGCUUCCCAAUUCAUAAAGUAUCAGCCUUUCUACCUCAGUCUGAGGGGAUUAAUAUCACAUUGCCUAAGAAAAUGGGACUGACCCACAGUGAAACAGUUCCCACCUAUGAUGAGACUCAUGUCCUAGCAGGCCCCUAAAGAUAUUACAGUGGGAACAACAACCACUCAUUUGGAAAAUCUAAAUGCAUGGGAGCAAUUGGAUUCCAGGGUGGCAGUGGCCAAUGACAUCACUCAAUCACCAUGGACAAGGUAACAACUCUACUUAUAAGAACAAACUUUAGCCUGCUACCAGGCCUUAGCAGAGACUGAAUGCUUCAUCAUGGACCACCGAGAUAUCAAGUGACCUGAGUUAACAUCGUGAACUGGAUGUUAUCUGACCAACCAAACCAUAAAGAUGGACAUUCACAGCAAUACUACAUCAUGAAUUGGAAGUGGCAUACAGGCAUAUCUCAGAAAUAUUGUGGGUUUGGUUCCAGACCACCACAAUAAACUGAAUAUUGCAAUAAAGUGAGUUACUUGACUUUUUUGGUU
rnacentral:lncRNA from 1 species